rnacentral:tRNA from 3 species
AUCUUUCUAGUAUUCAAAGUUAGUACAAGUGACUUCCAAUCAUUUAGUCUUGGUUAAAAUCCAAGGAAAGAUA